GGGUUGUGAGGUUAAGCGACUAAGCGUACACGGUGGAUGCCCUGGCAGUCAGAGGCGAUGAAGGACGUGCUAAUCUGCGAAAAGCGUCGGUAAGGUGAUAUGAACCGUUACAGCCGGCGAUGUCCGAAUGGGGAAACCCAGUGCAAUUCGUUGCACUAUCGUUAACUGAAUACAUAGGUUAACGAGGCGAACCGGGGGAACUGAAACAUCUAAGUACCCCGAGGAAAAGAAAUCAACCGAGAUUCCCCCAGUAGCGGCGAGCGAACGGGGAGCAGCCCAGAGUCUGAAUCAGCUUGUGUGUUAGUGGAACGGUCUGGAAAGUCCGACGGUACAGGGUGAUAGUCCCGUACACCAAAAUGCACAGGCUGUGAACUCGAAGAGUAGGGCGGGACACGUGGUAUCCUGUCUGAAUAUGGGGGGACCAUCCUCCAAGGCUAAAUACUCCUGACUGACCGAUAGUGAACCAGUACCGUGAGGGAAAGGCGAAAAGAACCCCGGCGAGGGGAGUGAAAAAGAACCUGAAACCGUGUACGUACAAGCAGUGGGAGCACCUUCGGGUGUGACUGCGUACCUUUUGUAUAAUGGGUCAGCGACUUAUAUUCUGUAGCAAGGUUAACCGUAUAGGGGAGCCGCAGGGAAACCGAGUCUUAACUGGGCGUUAAGUUGCAGGGUAUAGACCCGAAACCCGGUGAUCUAGCCAUGGGCAGGUUGAAGGUUGGGUAACACUAACUGGAGGACCGAACCGACUAAUGUUGAAAAAUUAGCGGAUGACUUGUGGCUGGGGGUGAAAGGCCAAUCAAACCGGGAGAUAGCUGGUUCUCCCCGAAAGCUAUUUAGGUAGCGCCUCGUGAACUCAUCUUCGGGGGUAGAGCACUGUUUCGGCUAGGGGGUCAUCCCGACUUACCAACCCGAUGCAAACUACGAAUACCGAAGAAUGUUAUCACGGGAGACACACGGCGGGUGCUAACGUCCGUCGUGAAGAGGGAAACAACCCAGACCGCCAGCUAAGGUCCCAAAGUCAUGGUUAAGUGGGAAACGAUGUGGGAAGGCACAGACAGCCAGGAUGUUGGCUUAGAAGCAGCCAUCAUUUAAAGAAAGCGUAAUAGCUCACUGGUCGAGUCGGCCUGCGCGGAAGAUGUAACGGGGCUAAACCAUGCACCGAAGCUGCGGCAGCGACACUAUGUGUUGUUGGGUAGGGGAGCGUUCUGUAAGCCUGCGAAGGUGCUGUGAGGGUUGCUGGAGGUAUCAGAAGUGCGAAUGCUGACAUAAGUAACGAUAAAGCGGGUGAAAGCCCGCUCGCCGGAAGACCAAGGGUUCCUGUCCAACGUUAAUCGGGGCAGGGUGAGUCGACCCCUAAGGCGAGGCCGAAAGGCGUAGUCGAUGGGAAACAGGUUAAUAUUCCUGUACUUGGUGUUACUGCGAAGGGGGACGGAGAAGGCUAUGUUAGCCGGGCGACGGUUGUCCCGGUUUAAGCAUGUAGGCUGGUUGUCCAGGCAAAUCCGGAUAAUCAAGGCUGAGGUGUGAUGACGAGGCACUACGGUGCUGAAGUAACAAAUGCCCUGCUUCCAGGAAAAGCCUCUAAGCAUCAGGUAACAUUAAAUCGUACCCCAAACCGACACAGGUGGUCAGGUAGAGAAUACCAAGGCGCUUGAGAGAACUCGGGUGAAGGAACUAGGCAAAAUGGUGCCGUAACUUCGGGAGAAGGCACGCUGGUGUGUAGGUGAAGUCCCUGCGGAUGGAGCUGAGACCAGUCGAAGAUACCAGCUGGCUGCAACUGUUUAUUAAAAACACAGCACUGUGCAAACACGAAAGUGGACGUAUACGGUGUGACGCCUGCCCGGUGCCGGAAGGUUAAUUGAUGGGGUUAUCCGUAAGGAGAAGCUCUUGAUCGAAGCCCCGGUAAACGGCGGCCGUAACUAUAACGGUCCUAAGGUAGCGAAAUUCCUUGUCGGGUAAGUUCCGACCUGCACGAAUGGCGUAAUGAUGGCCAGGCUGUCUCCACCCGAGACUCAGUGAAAUUGAACUCGCUGUGAAGAUGCAGUGUACCCGCGGCAAGACGGAAAGACCCCGUGAACCUUUACUAUAGCUUGACACUGAACAUUGAGCCUUGAUGUGUAGGAUAGGUGGGAGGCUUUGAAGCGUGGACGCCAGUCUGCGUGGAGCCAACCUUGAAAUACCACCCUUUAAUGUUUGAUGUUCUAACGUUGGCCCCUUACCGGGGUUGCGGACAGUGUCUGGUGGGUAGUUUGACUGGGGCGGUCUCCUCCCAAAGCGUAACGGAGGAGCACGAAGGUUAGCUAAUCCUGGUCGGACAUCAGGAGGUUAGUGCAAUGGCAUAAGCUAGCUUGACUGCGAGCGUGACGGCGCGAGCAGGUGCGAAAGCAGGUCAUAGUGAUCCGGUGGUUCUGAAUGGAAGGGCCAUCGCUCAACGGAUAAAAGGUACUCCGGGGAUAACAGGCUGAUACCGCCCAAGAGUUCAUAUCGACGGCGGUGUUUGGCACCUCGAUGUCGGCUCAUCACAUCCUGGGGCUGAAGUAGGUCCCAAGGGUAUGGCUGUUCGCCAUUUAAAGUGGUACGCGAGCUGGGUUUAGAACGUCGUGAGACAGUUCGGUCCCUAUCUGCCGUGGGCGCUGGAGAAUUGAGGGGGGGCUGCUCCUAGUACGAGAGGACCGGAGUGGACGCAUCACUGGUGUUCGGGUUGUCAUGCCAAUGGCACUGCCCGGUAGCUAAAUGCGGAAGAGAUAAGUGCUGAAAGCAUCUAAGCACGAAACUUGCCCCGAGAUGAGUUCUCCCUGAGACUUUAAGUCUCCUGAAGGAACGUUAAAGACGAUGACGUUGAUAGGCCGGGUGUGUAAGCGCAGCGAUGCGUUGAGCUAACCGGUACUAAUGAACCGUGAGGCUUAACCUUACAACGCCGAAG
rnacentral:rRNA from 1 species